CUGUCUCCUCCUAACGGGCAUGCAGGUUGGUUCCAGUUUCCAGCGAUCCUAAACACACUUGGCUGGACCUCCCUGUGCCUACAGAGGUGGGAUUUUGUGACAUAGGUGGGGGGAAAUGGAAUUGCUGGGGUGAAUUGUAGAUCCACGGGAGCUCCAUUGCAACAGAAAAAGGCAUGCCUCUUCAGUUUACUUACAGGUCAGGAUUUCUAACCUUGGCCCCAUUGACAUCCUGGACUGGGUCAUUCUUUGUUGUCAGGCAGCGGGGGAACCGUCCUCUGUAGGAUGUUUAGCAGCAUCCGUGGCUUCUACCCAAUAGAUGCCAGUAAAUCACCACCUCCAGUUGUGACAACCAAAAAUUUCUCCAGACAUUGCCAAAUGUCCCCUGGGAGUCAAAAUCACCCCCAACUGAGAACCAUUGCUGUAACUGUACAGAGCCUAUGAGGAUGAGGAGGAUUUCUUUUUCUUUUCUUUUUUUUUUUAGACAGAGUCUCGCUGUGUCGCGCAAGCUGGAGUGCAGUGGCGCAGUCUCAGCUCUCUGCAACCUCUGCCUCCUGUGCUCAAGUGAUUCUCCUGCCUCAGCCUCCCGAGUAGCCAGGAUUAUAGGCAUGCGCCACCGCGCCCAGCCAAUUUUUGUAUUUUUAGUAAAGACGGGGUUUCACCAUGUUGCCCAGGCUAGUCUUGAACUCCUGACCUCAGGUGAUCCACCUGCCUCGGCCUCCCAAAGUGCUGGGAUUACAGGCAUGAGCCACCGCGCCUGGCCUACGAGGAGGAUUUCUAAGCACAGAUUCUUUAAACAGGUUUUAUGUGUUAUUGACUUUCUUCUCUUUGGGCAGAAGGACAUUUUACCUCCCUAGAAGGGGUGCAAUGACAUUGAUAGUCACUAGUUUAAGAAUAAGAGAUGUCCCUUGCAAGCAGACUCAGAGAAAAAAAAAAGGGUCUCAGUUCCUAAUUGGGAUAAAUAACGAGAUUUGAAUCUGAACGAUAGAAAUUAAAUUAUAGGCCAGGCGCAGUGACUCACACCUGUAAUCCCACUGCUUUGGGAGGCCGAGGCAGACAGAUGACGAGGUCAGGAGAUCGAGACCAUCCUGGCCAACAUGGUGAACCCCAUCUCUACUAAAAAAAAAAAAUACAAAAAUUAACUGGGUGUGGUGGCGUGUGCCUGUAGUCCCAGCUACUCGGGAGGCUGAGGCAGGAGAAUUGCUUUAACCUGGGAGGCGGAGGUAGCGGUGAGCCAAGAUCACGCCAUUGCACUCCAGCCUGGGCAACAAGAGCGAAACUCCAUCUC
rnacentral:lncRNA from 1 species